rnacentral:rRNA from 1 species
AUACGAAGGGAGCUAGCGUUGUUCGGAAUUACUGGGCGUAAAGCGCACGUAGGCGGAUUUGUUAGUCAGGGGUGAAAUCCCGGGGCCCAACCUCGGAACUGCCUUUGAUACUGCAAGUCUGGAGUCCGGAAGAGGUGGGUGGAAUUCCUAGUGUAGAGGUGAAAUUCGUAGAUAUUAGGAAGAACACCGGUGGCGAAGGCGGCCCACUGGUCCGGUACUGACGCUGAGGUGCGAAAGCGUGGGGAGCAAACAGGAUUAGAAACCCCUGUAGUCC